rnacentral:rRNA from 1 species
CUUUGUAUUGUAGCUAACGCGUUAAGCACUCCGCCUGGGGACUACGGUCGCAAGACUAAAACUCAAAGGAAUUGACGGGGACCCGCACAAGCGGUGGAGCAUGUGGUUUAAUUCGAUGCUACGCGAAAAACCUUACCACUUUUUGACAUGAAGGUCGUAUCCCUCCUAACAGAGGGAGUCAGUUCGGCUGGACCUUACACAGGUGCUGCAUGGUUGUCGUCAGCUCGUGUCGUGAGAUGUUGGGUUAAGUCCCGCAACGAGCGCAACCCUCAUCCUUAGUUACCAACAGGUAAUGCUGGGCACUCUAAGGAAACUGCCAGUGAUAAACUGGAGGAAGGUGGGGAUGAUGUCAAAUCAGCACGGCCCUUAUAAGGUGGGCUACACACGUGCUACAAUGGCAACUACAAUAGGUUGCGAGACCGCAAGGUUUAGCUAAUCCAUAAAAGUUGUCUCAGUUCGGAUUGUUCUCUGCAACUCGAGAGCAUGAAGUCGGAAUCGCUAGUAAUCGUGGAUCAUCACGCCACGGUGAAUACGUUCUCGGGUCUUGUACACACUGCCCGUCACGCCAUGGGAAUUGGCUUAACUCGAAGCUGGUGUGC